GCAAUGCAUGAGGGAACUAUGCAUCCUGAAUGGCAUAGACUCUUGGCUUCAUGAAAUGACCCAUGUCUAUGAUUCAAGGGAUAAAGUAAAGAAAAAGAAGAAAAGAUUAC